rnacentral:lncRNA from 1 species
CUCCCUUUUUUCUCACACACAUAACACAGCGAGCACGCUGCCCUUCUCCUUGCAUGAUGCCCUUCCUCUUACACCAUGUCGCUUUCUUGUUUUGCUAGCCCCCUUCCUCCUGCUAGGUAGCAUCUUUUUAUUGAUCUGAUUGCUUCCAAAAUUUCACUGCUUAUGUCUGUAAUUCCCUUUGGAUCUCAUUCUUUGCCUAACUACUUGGCAUUUCUUGCCCACGAGGUGUUUGUUUUAAUGUCUGAAUGGGAACUGCUACUGACAAUGUGCUCAAAGAAGACGCUUAACAGUGAUAUAUUGAUAGGUAUGCCAUGAUCGAUUAUCCUCUUGUUUGUUUCAUCUUUGUACAGUUACUAAUUUUGGAAUCUUAUGUUAUACUCCCUCCGUCCGGAAAUACUCGUCGGAGGAAUGGAUGUAUCUAGAUGUAUUUUAGUUCUAGAUACAUUCAUUUUUCUGCAUUUCUCCGACAAGUAUUUCUGGACGGAGGGAGUAUAUACAUCUGCCAUGUAGUUUAUGAAGUCCAAUGUGGUUAGCUCUGCAUUCGGAUGCUAUUACCUCACUAGUCCAGCCAAAGCUAAGCAUGUCUGCGUAUGAAAGGAUCCAUCUAGCGUCAGUCUCCUUCUCAAUGUUCAGUUUACAUCCUUAAUUUCACGGCAAUGCUUGAUAUCGAAAAUAAUUCAUAUGGGCAACAAUCCCGGAUAAGUAACUAAUAUUUUAUCAAUCCUUCUCUAAUUACUCGGUGUCUGCGUAUGAAAGGAUCCAUCGCGCCUUAUGCUUGCUUGCUUUGUUUCUAGUGUCUUAGAUUCUCUGGCUGCCAGCACAUGUGAAUUUUUUCGAGAAAACGCAAAAAAGUUUGCGUUUCAUUUCAUUGAACAGGAAGAAAACAGCAGUACAGGUACAACCUCCCGGGAGAAGGGACACACGCACACACACCAUCGUCCUCACCAGACAAGCAGGUGAGGAGGUGCUACCAACUACAGACCGCAACAACGAAAGGUCUAGCCUUGUCCAGCCUCCAACCAUGAAUGGCAAGGUAGCUAGACACAGAGCCUCAAGGCCGCGUCACAGCCGUUGCCAGGCGCCUCCGAAGAAGACUGCAUCUCCAGGGCUGACCGGGCCAACGUACCUUCCACCCAUAUGUGCCUAGGAGACGGCAGGUGGAUGGCAGGACCCAGCCAAAACUAGCGAAGCCAUCGUCUUGGACGUGCCGGUGCCGGCGUACAUUGCGCCCCGGACGCCCACGCUCCAUGCUGCAGCCCUCAUCACAGCAUCGCAUUACCAGCAAACCUCGCCGGAAAGACCGGGGAGGCCACCAUCUCCAGCUGACGCAUAGGGGACUUCAAGUGCGACCCAAGCAGCGCUUUCAAGAAAGGAACGGCGCUGAGACGCCGUCGCUGCCUUGUCCAGGGAACUGGACCAAGGGUUUCCCCCGGUGCCCGAGGAGAGGGUCCAGUCUGGGCCAUGACAGCGCCUCCAUGGAGGUAACGGCACACUCAGGUGUCGCCGUUGUCAGCGCAGGCCAUCGCCGCGCAGGGAUUUCGCCCGGCCCAAGACCAGAACCCCAAAACCGCCGAAGCAGAGCAAACAGGAGAUGGGGAAGCAGAUCGCCAGAGAGGACCACCAGCACCGAGAGGGAAACCACGUAUUGUCACUGUCGAUGUAGGGAAGCACCGGCCAGCGCAGUGCAGCAGCUGCUGGAUGGCUGCCAGACAAGGCCAGCCAUCGCACGGGACGCGUCGAGCAGGGCUAGUGGCGCCGUCGCGGAGACCAGCCACCUGCACCUUGCGGCCGCCGACCAUGGCCGCUGCCGCGCCGGCCCGCAGCCUCCGCCACCCGGAUCCGCCGGGGCACAGCCAAGCAGCCGCAGCCGCGCCCCCAAAGGGUCGCGCCGCGCCGCCCGCGUGCUCGCCACGCCAGUCCAGAGGCCCGACCCUCUGGAUCUGGGGCCGCCGUCGCGAAACCCUAGGUUUGGAGAAGCGCAGCUCCGUCAGCCUCGUCGAGCCCCACGCUCGAGGGGGGAGGCCGCCUGGGAGCGAAGUCCCGCCGCCGCCGGAUCCACCAGGGCUUUGCCCGGCGGGGAGCACCGGCGGCGGCAGGGGGAGGGGGAGGAGGAGGGGGGGAGCGCUUGAGGGCUGCGUCGCCUCCCGAGUCGCCCGUGGGGAGGGCGACGCGGGGGAGGGGGGGAGUACUCCUUCCGUUGAAAGAAUUGUAUCGUUGUGGAGGUUCUUUUUCCAGCACAUGUGAAUUGAUUUAAUCCUUUAAACUUGACAGCAGAUGGUCUUCAUCACAAAUUACUACUGCGAAAUUGGUUUGGAAUAAAUUACUUAUUCUCCAUUUUGUCCUAAAGGAACGUGCUCUUUCAACUGGGAAGGGGUUUAUUAAAUGUUGGACUGGCAUAAGGCGCGAUGUGCGCAGCGGCAUCCAUGCACACUCGACGUCAGCGUGUGAAUCUAUGGCAGCCAUCAUCUGCAUAGCUAACGAGCAAGACGAACAGUGCGAAUAGGAAAGUUCCAGAAUUUCGUUUCUCACUCCAGUGAAAAUGGAUGCAUCAACUCCCACGAUGAGUGGUCGGUGCGGCGAUCGACAGGCAGGCGGGGCAGCAUGGUGAGCGGCGGCUGGCCUCGGUGUCGGGCAGUGCUACGGUGCGUGAUCAAGGCAGCGCUGUGGUGGAUGCUCACAUUGAUGUUUAGGCGGAGCCGACGCUAUUUGUGGUGGUCAGCAUCUGGGCCUCUAAUCCUCCACAGCCAGCUCGAGCCCUGUGACUUCCUCCCUCUCGCCUCAUAGAUACAAUUUCCCGUCCCUUCCACCUUCCAUCUCCCUUUCUUUCUUUGCCUUUUAUUCCUCAUUCGCUGAUCUUUGUACUACUAUUUCACGCUUACAUGCCUUUUUGUCAUUAAGUCGUUCCCUGUUUUUAGCUGCAGGUACAUAAACCAAAAAAAAAAUUAGCUGCAGGUACAUAAAACCGAAAUUCUUUGUUAUGUGUUGUACUGUCCCUGUUGUAGCUUCUUGGUUGAUUGGAAGUUCUUCUAAUUUGGGCUUAACAUUUGCGUGCGCAUGCCAAAUAUAUCAGUAUAUUGUCAUUCUCUUUAGAGGGGGUUAACGAUUUUCUAAUCUCAGUUGUUGUACCAUGAUGUUGUUCUUAUCUCAGUUGUCGCAGCGGUGCUGCGGUGGGUUGUCGUGGUGGCACUACCUCCCUUAACGGCGACGACAUUGUCUGAGGUUUUGUGUUUAUUUUGGUUGCGUGUGUGCAGGUGAGGAGCUCAUAGGAGGCGCGAGCAACCCUGAUCCUAAUGCUUUCAGUUCCAAUCAAUUUCAUGUUUGUUACACCUCGUCAUGUUCUUCCCAAAUUUCUACAUUGGUGUUCAGUUUUUGUGGAGGCUGCAGACUGGAGUGAUCACGAGAAUAGACCUCCUACCCGAUGAGGUAACUUGAAUUUUACAAUAUAUGCUUGCUUGUGUUUGCAUUUUUGCAUGCAUGCUCUGUAAUUGGUUUUUCUUAGGAACACUCUAAUUCUUGUUUAUUUGUAUCUCCAAGUAGCUUUGUUGGAUGUCUUUUUAGAUUAGGAAAUUUGGAUCUGCUGUUUCUUCCAAUCCAUGCCAGGGCAGAGGUGUAGAGCAGUGUUUGUGUAGAAUAUGUGUGCUCCUUGACAUGGAAGCAUCAACUUCUACGAAAUGGCUAAAAUUUUGCCAGGUACAAGUAAAGUAUGUAGGGAGAAUAUUUGGUUUGUUCUUUACAGUAUUUAAGUUUGAUUUUUCACAGUCCACAAUGAAGAUAUGGAGUUUUGUUUCAGUGCCCUGUGGGAAAUCAUUCAGUAUUUACAUGCUUCUGAAUUAAUUUAAUUUAUUUGUUGGAAUGGGUUGGAGUUUAGGCCUCAUUAGAUGCACCUACAAUUUACUGAUUAGCUUUUUUGCAGAUAACAGUAUAUAUGUUUUUUUCUUAGGAACACUCUAAUUUUUGCACUGAGGUGGGUGGUCGUGGAUUCCGUCAGGUUACAACAUUGACCCCAUCUAUUUUUAUUUUCUUAGGAACAACAUUGACCCCAUCUGUUGAUGGCACUGAAAUUAAUGGUGGCAGAACCAUCGGAGGCGUCUGAAUAUCUUUGAGAUGCUGGGCUCAAACUAUGGUUGCUCAGCAGAGUCAGCACAUGGCUCACUGGUGCUCUUUAUAGAAAUAAUGAAAUCCAAAAUUGUUGUUUGGGUUCUUGUUUUUACAUGGCAUGCAUUUUCUUUUGUAGUUUAAUAAUGUACCUCCGCCCGUGUUUGACGAGACACCAAAGCACCAUAGAGAUCACUUCGAAAACUUGUCACAAGCAUGUGACGCGACUCCCCAAUGAGAAAAUGAUGGCCUUAAAAUGAUGUGUGGUCAGUAAGUACUCCUGUCCUAGUUGGUUAUCUUUUAGUUGCCAAUUGUUCUUUUUCACACUGGCUUCCUUGUUUUUAAAUAAAAUCCAGUAUUCUGAUUGCCUUCUCAUCUGCAUUUUCAGUUACGUAUGACGAGACAAGAAAUUACGUUGGCUCAUCCUGGAUGUGAUAAUGACGCAUCCAGUCCAAUAGAACAUCCCAUCAGACAAUGAAUGCUCGUUUCAUGUUUUGGGUCUUUAACUAGAAUGUCAUCUGCCACCAGUAUAUUAGUUUUGUUUGCGGGUAGCCACAAGUAUAGUAAUGACUUAACUGAAACUAUAGCUUAGGCCAAUGAUUUGCAUCUUCUUUAUCUGGUUAUACCUUUGUACGU